rnacentral:rRNA from 1 species
UGUACACGCUGUGACUAGCAUAUCAAUAAGCGGAGGAAAAGAAACUAACAAGGAUUCCCUUAGUAACGGCGAGUGAAGCGGGAAGAGCUCAAAUUUGAAAUCUUGAAAGGUCACCUUUCACGAAUUGUAGUUUAAAGAAGUGUUUUCUGUUACGAUCGUAAUAUAAGCUCUUUGGAAUAGGACAUCACAGAGGGUGAGAAUCCCGUCUAUGAUUGCGAUUUGUAGCUUUGUGAUACACUUUCAAAGAGUCGGGUUGUUUGGGAAUGCAGCCCAAAACGGGAGGUAAAUUUCUUCUAAGGCUAAAUAUUGGCGAGAGACCGAUAGCGAACAAGUACCGUGAGGGAAAGAUGAAAAGAACUUUGAAAAGAGAGUUAAAUAGUACGUGAAAUUGUCAAAAGGGAAGCGUUUAACACCAGUGUUGUUUUCUGAAAAUCAACCUCUGUUAGCUUUAUGCAUGUUUGUUUAGACCUAAUCAGCUAUCUUGCAUGUUCUAUUGUUUGCAGUGGUGCACUUUUCAGUUUACAGGUCAACAUCAGUUUUUUUUACCGUAAAAAAGUUAAAGAAAGGUAGCUCAUGGCUCCGGUCGUGAGUGUUAUAGUCUUUUUCCUAUGCGGUAGGAGAGACUGAGGUCUGCAGUGUAGGCUAUUUGGCUAGAUACUCAGGUGCUAUGUGAUACCAUUUCAUAAACAACUUGUUGAUUAUGUUUUGUCUAUUGCAUACUCGCUUGUACUAUCAUACCUACGCUUAGGAUGUUGAACUACUGAGACAUAGA